rnacentral:rRNA from 1 species
CCUACGGGUGACAGCAGUCGAGAAUCAUUCACAAUGGGGGAAACCCUGAUGGGGCGACGCCACGUGGGGGAAUGAAGGUCUUCGGAUUGUAAACCCCUGUCAUGUGGGAGCAAAUUAAAAAGAUAGUACCACAAGAGGAAGAGACGGCUAACUCUGUGCCAGCAGCCGCGGUAAUACAGAGGUCUCAAGCGUUGUUCGGAAUCACUGGGCGUAAGGCGUGCGUAGGCUGUUUCGUAAGUCGUGUGUGAAAGGCGCGGGCUCAACCCGCGGACGGCACAUGAUACUGCGAGACUAGAGUAAUGGAGGGGGAACCGGAAUUCUCGGUGUAGCAGUGAAAUGCGUAGAUAUCGAGAGGAACACUCGUGGCGAAGGCGGGUUCCUGGACAUUAACUGACGCUGAGGCACGAAGGCCAGGGGAGCGAAAGGGAUUAGAUACCCUUGUAGUC